rnacentral:lncRNA from 1 species
UGGGGACACCGAGCACAGCUCUGGGGGUAGCUGCCCGGUGCUGGGGACGUGCAGUGUGGGCACCGAUCCCCUCCAGCUCCGUGCAGGAUGCGCCCUGGGGUCGUGGGGGCACCGUGCCCGGCAGAGCCACCGGUUGCUGCCCCCUGCUCAUGGUGGGGAUGUUUUAGGGACAAGCUGGGGUCUGGCUCAGCUCGUCCCAUCUUGUCCCGGGGCUCAGCGUCUCCUUCCUCAGCAGGCAGAGCUGCAGCUGCAGGAGCUCUCGCGCUCCAUCUCCUCCUCCUCCUCGCUCAGCGGUACGUCCCGCGCCCCCGGCCGAGCCGAGAGGGGGUCCCGGGGUUGGGGGGGAGGGGGCCGCAUCGUGCCGGGGCUGAGCACCACGGGCGUCUCUCCCCCUUGUGCCGCAGACCUGGGCUGCACCAGCCCCAGCCUCUCGCUGCAGUCCCCGGUGCUGCCGGCGCUGAGCAGCUCCCUGUCGGAGAACGACCUCUCCAGCCCCGUGGAGCCGCCGGCACCCCAAACACGAGGGCAGCUGCCAGUGCUGCCGGGCUCCCCUGCAGGCUCGGUGCAGACCUGGCCCCUUCUCUCCACGGCUCCCUCCUGGCCGACGGCAGCGCCGCUCUUCCCCCAAACGCCCCCUCCGAGCACCCCGGGGGCUCCCCCCGUUCCCCCUGCCCUCCCUCCCGCCCUCCCCUCGUCCCCCAUCCCCAGCAGCCCCGUGAGCCCCCCUGUGACCAGCGGUCCCUGGUCCCCGACCACCCCGCUCCUGUCCCUGGCCAACGUCUUCUCCCUGGCGGUGAUGAGCGUGGCCCACACGCUGCUGCCCGCCGUCUCCUCCAUCGCCCCCUCGGGGGGCCACCUCUACCCCCCGCUGCUGCCUCGGCCCCAAAACCUCAUCCUGGGACCCCCUCGUUUCGUCUAUCCCGACCCCGCCAGCAUGGCCAAACCCCCCCCGGCUCACGGCGGGGCGCUGGGGGCCGCUGUCCCCGCUGUGGGGGGUGCCGUGCCCUUCUCUCCUCCAGCACCACCAGGGGGUGAGGCCGCGGGGAGCCCCCCAGCGCCACCGCCACCGUGCGCAUCCACACCGGGGAGCCUGGAGGGCAGCGGGGUGAGUGCGGGGCGGGGAGGGCUCCGGGGGUGCUUUUAGGAUUGGGAUGCGGAGCCCUCUUGGCCCUAGGGACACAGGGGGGGUGAACGGGCAGUGGGUCGCAAGGGCCGUGAUGGUUUUGGGGUGUCUGCAGGUGCCGCUCAGCCCCCCCAAGCCCAGCCACCCGCUCAUCGUCGCCGAGUCACUGCCGCCCGGCGUGCCCAAGGCGCGGCUGUCACCCAUCAACGAAGGUGAGGCGGGGAAGGGGCCGUGCCCACCCCAAGGAGGGGGUGACACCGCGCCGCCCCCGACCUCCCAGCUCACCCCCAGGCCCUGCUGCUUCCCCCCCAGCAGAAGCCAAGCCGCAGAUCCUGGGCCGCUUCCAGGUGACGCCGUCCAAGGAGCCAGCGGUCGCCUCGCCGGCACCGGGCAGCGGCGAGGGCGAGGAGCAUGGCACCGAGCUGGCGGCGAGUGGCUCCCCCCUGCCCCCCGCCCCCGGCACGGGGAGCAGCAGCAGCAGCAGCAGCAGCUCCUCGGAGUCGGAGGCAGCGGUGCAGGACCCCGAGGUGGAGGAGGCGCUGCCCCGGGAGGGCAUGGUGGUGGCGGCGGCAGCCGAGAGCGAGCGGGAGGGCGCCGGGGAGGAGGGCGCUGAGGGUGCUCCGCAGGCGGUGCUGAGCCAGGUGUGGCUGAGCUACUCCCGCAGCCUGUCCUAUGUGAGCAGCGAUGACACCGAGAGCGAGGACGAGGAGAUCUGGGAGGAGCUGCAGAGCCUG